rnacentral:rRNA from 1 species
CCUACGGGUGGCAGCAGUGAGGAAUAUUGGUCAAUGGGCGCGAGCCUGAACCAGCCAAGUCGCGUGAGGGAAGACGGUCCUAUGGAUUGUAAACCUCUUUUGUCGGGGAGCAAAAGACGCCCCGCGUGGCGUUCCGAGAGUACCCGAAGAAAAAGCAUCGGCUAACUCCGUGCCAGCAGCCGCGGUAAUACGGAGGAUGCGAGCGUUAUCCGGAUUUAUUGGGUUUAAAGGGUGCGCAGGCGGAAGAUUAAGUCAGCGGUAAAAUUGGGAGGCUCAACCUCUUCGAGCCGUUGAAACUGGUGUUCUUGAGUGAGCGAGAAGUAUGCGGAAUGCGUGGUGUAGCGGUGAAAUGCAUAGAUAUCACGCAGAACCCCGAUUGCGAAGGCAGCAUACCGGCGCUCAACUGACGCUCAUGCACGAAAGUGUGGGUAUCGAACAGGAUUAGAUACCCCAGUAGUC